AUGAAGUACUUAUCAGCAAGAACUGUAUGCCUUUUUCAGAGCUUUAAAAACUCGGGAAGCUAUUUGCUGCCUAACGAGUUCAUUGUUUAUACGGACCAUCAAUCCUUGAAGCACUUUAGAAAUCAAAAACAUGUUGAUUGUAUGCUAGCAAGAUGGGUAACAUAUUUGAAGAGGUUUAACUAUCUCAUUGUGCAUAAAUGUGGAGCAAACAAUCAAGUAGCCGAUGCUUUGAGUCAUCAUGCAUGUCUCUUGACUUCUUUUGAGGCUGAACUUCCAGACAAGCAUCAAAUAAAGGAGUUGUAUGGCAUGUCGAAGACUUUAGCCAUGUUUGGGUAA
rnacentral:rRNA from 1 species